rnacentral:rRNA from 1 species
GACGAACGCUGGCGGCGUGCUUAACACAUGCAAGUCGAACGAAGUGGCGAACGGGUGAGUAAUAUGUGGGUAACCUGCCCUCCUUUGUGGGAUAAGCCUUGGAAACGGGGUCUAAUACCGAAUAAAGGGGAUGGGGCUCGCGGCCUAUCAGCUUGGUGGUGGGGUUAAGUGCUACCAAGACGGUGACGGGUAGCCGGCCUGAGAGGGUGAAUGGCCACGUUGGAACUUGGGCACGGCCUAGACUCUUACGCGAGGUAGAAGUGGGGGAUAUGGCACAAUGGGCGAAAGACUAAUGCAGCGGCGCCGCGUGAGGCCUGAGGGCUGUCGGGUUGUGAACCUCUUUAGCAAUCGAACGGGUAGGUGGAGAAGAAGCGCCGGCUAACUACGUGCCAGCAGCCGCGGUAAUAC